CAUGAAGGAAUAAGGGAGAGAGGGGCACCUGUCAGCACGUGAUGCUCAACACCUUUCCACAGACUGAGCAUGUUGACAAUCACUGCAAUCCGUAUGCCUUUCACAGUCAUAGAAGAUUUGAUAUAUGAAGUAUUGGAUAGAAAUGCUGGGGACUGUCAUAUCAUCCCAGACCAUUCAGCAAGACCUCAAGAUUGUGGAGGAAUGGGCUAACAUGAGCUAACGGGAACCUAACAAAGUUUUACAAAGGCCUUUACAAAGACCUGUAAAGAACCAAGAGGUCACAUUUCCUGGCGCAGUAACCCUACACAGCAGCACAGGCUGGAGAGCAGUGUGGUGGAAAAAGGGGGACCUGCUGGACAAGAAGUUGAACACAAGACAGCAAUGAGAAAAUGUUGAGAGAUCUGGGUUUGUUUAUCCUUCAGAAGCAAAAGCUCAAGUGGACCUAAUGGCUGUCUUCAGCUACCUGUUUUGGCACAGAGAUAAGUUAGAAACAUAUUCUUCUUGGAGGUACACUGUGAAAGGAAAAUAGGUAAUGGUCACAGGAAGCUCUGCUACAUGCCCUUUUCAAAGUAUUUGGUGGCAUUAUCCAAAGAAAAAGGAUGUUUUGCAUCAGCUGCCAAAGCCCCAGGAAGCCAUCCUUCAAGGGCAAGAUGAACUCAUUCCCUUAGGCACAAUGGAGUCUGAAGUCAUGCUUGAACAUUCACUUUCUCUCUCCCUGGUAAGCAAGGCUGAGAAGUCAGCAACCAUGAGCUCAGAUACGGAAACAACUGGCCAAGCAAAAUAAUGUCCUUCAGCUCCUGGAUGAAGUGAAGGAAGGUAAAGGUGUUUAGGGAAUGUAGCAGAUAUAUUUCUGCUCACCUGGCCCUACUAUCCAGAUUAACUGGAGGAGGGUAGUGGAAAGGAGCUCAAAGUACCAGCUGGGUGAACACUAUCUCAUUACAUUGGCCAAGAUGAAUGUUAUAGUUGGGGCAAUAUUUUCAAGGGGUUUGGGAAGAGAUAAAAAUAAGUAAGAGAGAGCCCUUUCCUCCAGUCAAACUGGGAGGUUGGCAACCUCAUAUUUGAUUAGUCUGUUCUCACACAGCACCAGCAGAGGAUUAACUGAGAAGCACAACUGUGAUGGAGCUUACACCAGCUGGUCAGGGCUUGCCUCCUAACCAGCCGGGGCAAUUCCCAGGGGCUGAAGGGUGUGAAAUCUGCUUGGAGGGAUGAGGUUUUAACACUGAGCCAUGUCCGGGCAAUUCAAGGACAGAUUCUGAGUUCACAGGAUUGCACAUAGACAGAGUGAUUUUACCAUCACCAUUUGGAUUUGCAUUCACCUCGCCUGUCCUGGAAUUAAGCUGCGUGUUUUUAAAAUAACACAUUGUGUUUAUCUAGUUAAUAGAAGUGUCUGACAAUGUCCUUAUCUUGAGGUGUAAUAUUUUCACAGAGGAAAAAUAAUAAUAAUAAUAAUAAAAGGUUUGACUAAUAAAACCCUGUAAUUAACAAGUGACUAACAAGCAAUAA